AUGAGGAUUUAUUUAUUCAAAAGAAUCACCUUCUCCAACUACAUUCCUUCACCCCAAAAAACCCAAAUCAAUCAUGGUAGAAUACUUAAGGCCAAAAAUCACAAAGGGCAUAAAAAAAGGAAAUAUUUUUGGAGGAGGAAUAAGUUUCACAAAUCACAAUGUUUCGAGAUGAAUGGAGGAAGUGGGUCUGGUUUGUUUGGUAUCAAGAGAGAGAAA